rnacentral:lncRNA from 1 species
AGCCACGCUAACCUGGAGCGCUGGACAGGUUCUCCAGAAAAGAACCAACACAAUGCAUACAUAGUACAUAAGGGGACCUAUUAGACUGCUCUAAACAACACAGGUUGGGGAGUCCAACAAUGUCCGCUUAGUCCAUGAAGCUGGUGCCUCGGUGGUCUCAAUGUACUGUCAAAGGCUGACAGGUUCCCUGACCUGCCCAGAGGUGCUCUCCUUAGUGA